rnacentral:tRNA from 1 species
CGCGGUGAGGUCGAAGCAGUGGAGACGGGUGCCUUGGGAGCAUCAGAAAGCAGGUGCGACUCCUGCCACCGCGACCA